rnacentral:rRNA from 1 species
GACGAACGCUGGCGGCGUGCUUAACACAUGCAAGUCGAACGGUGAACCUCUUCGUAGGGGAUCAGUGGCGAACGGGUGAGUAACACGUGGGCAACCUGCUCCCGGCUCUGGGAUAACUCCAAGAAAUUGGGGCUAAUACUGGAUGAUCACCGCUUCCCGCGUGGGUGGUGGUGCAUAGGGUUUCCGGCUGGGGAUGGGCCCGCGGCCUAUCAGCUUGUUGGUUGGGUAGUGGCCUACCAAGGCGACGACGGGUAGCCGGCCUGAGAGGGUGACCGGCCACACUGGGACUGAGACACGGCGCAGACUCCUACGGGAGGCAGCAGUGGGGAAUAUUGCGCAAUGGGCGGAAGCCUGACGCAGCGACGCCGCGUGGGGGAUGACGGCCUUCGGGUUGUAAACCGCUUUCAGCAGGGACGAAGCGGAAGUGACGGUACCUGCAGAAGAAGCACCGGCCAACUACGUG